rnacentral:rRNA from 1 species
GCUUCUUUCCUCCCGAGUGCUUGCACUCAAUUGGAAAGAGGAGUGGCGGACGGGUGAGUAACACGUGGGUAACCUACCCAUCAGAGGGGGAUAACACUUGGAAACAGGUGCUAAUACCGCAUAACAGUUUAUGCCGCAUGGCAUAAGAGUGAAAGGCGCUUUCGGGUGUCRCUGAUGGAUGGACCCGCGGUGCAUUAGCUAGUUGGUGAGRUAACGGCUCACCAAGGCCACGAUGCAUAGCCGACCUGAGAGGGUGAUCGGCCACACUGGGACUGAGACACGGCCCAGACUCCUACGGGAGGCAGCAGUAGGGAAUCUUCGGCAAUGGACGAAAGUCUGACCGAGCAACGCCGCGUGAGUGAAGAAGGUUUUCGGAUCGUAAAACUCUGUUGUUAGAGAAGAACAAGGACGUUAGUAACUGAACGUCCCCUGACGGUAUCUAACCAGAAAGCCACGGCUAACUACGUGCCAGCAGCCGCGGUAAUACGUAGGUGGCAAGCGUUGUCCGGAUUUAUUGGGCGUAAAGCGAGCGCAGGCGGUUUCUUAAGUCUGAUGUGAAAGCCCCCGGCUCAACCGGGGAGGGUCAUUGGAAACUGGGAGACUUGAGUGCAGAAGAGGAGAGUGGAAUUCCAUGUGUAGCGGUGAAAUGCGUAGAUAUAUGGAGGAACACCAGUGGCGAAGGCGGCUCUCUGGUCUGUAACUGACGCUGAGGCUCGAAAGCGUGGGGAGCAAACAGGAUUAGAUACCCUG